UUGUCUCAAAGAUUAAGCCAUGCAAGUGUCAGUACAAAUGGAUGUAAAGUGAAACCGCGAACCGCUCAGUAAAUCAGUUACUGUUUAUUUGAUGAAUUUACAAAAAAAUUACUUGGAUAACUGUGGCAAUUCCAGAGCUAAUACAUGCACUAAAGUCCCGCCCUUAACGGGGAAGGACGCUUUUAUUAGAAUACAAAACCAAUCACCUCGGUCAGGCAGCAAUGUCUUUCCGAAAAACUAACAGUGGCGAAUCUGAGUAACACAGAACAGAUCGCACGGCCACAGAGCAAGGCGACGCAUCAUCCAAGCGCCUGCUCUAUCAACUUUGAUGGCCGAUUAUAAGCCAACCAUGGUGUUGACGGGUGACGGGGAAUCAGGGUUCGAUUCCGGAGAGGGAGCCUGAGAAACUGCUACCACAUCCAAGGAAGGCAGCAGGCGCGCAAAUUACCCACUCCCGGCAUGGGGAGGUAGUGACGAAGUAUAACGAUACGGGACUCCCAUCCGAGGCCCCGUGAUCGGAAUGAGACUGGUUCAGAUCACUUGUGUGAGUAUCCAUUGGAGGGCAAGCCUGGUGCCAGCAGCCGCGGUAAUUCCAGCUCCAAUAGCAUAUACUAAUGUUGUUGCGGUUAAAAAGCUCGUAGUCAGAGUUGUGUCCCACGCUGCCGGUCCACAGACUGUCUGUGCAGACUGCGCACGUCGCUGGGACGUCAUGGCCGGGAGCGGCUACGUCCUAGGCGAUUAUUCCCUCCUGCUACGUGGUUCUUCGGAGAUACGGAUCGGUCAUUCGGAAGGCAGGUUUACCUGUUUCUUCCGGUGUCCUUUCACGCCUCCGUCCCGCGUCGGGAGGGUUUCGUCUAGGCGGGCCGCAAAAUUCAUAGGUCCCGACCUGGUGCUCUUAACCGAGUGCCGAGGAGGGCCGGCACUCUUACUUUGAACAAACUCGAGUGCUCAAAGCUGGCCUUCUGGCCCAGACGCUGUGUGCAUGGAAUAAUGGAAUAGGAUUUCGGUUCUGUUUCGAUUGGUUUCACAGCCCCGAAGUAAUGAUCAAAAGGAGCAGGCGGGGGCAUUCGUACUGCGACGUUAGAGGUGAAAUUCUUAGAUCGUCGCAAGACGGACAAAAGCGAAAGCAUUUGCCAAGGAUGUUUUCACUGAUCAUGAGCGAAAGUUGGAGGAUCGAAGGCGAUCAGAUACCGCCCUAGUUCUAACUAUAAAUGAUGCCAGCCAGCUAUGCACCGCAGUCGCCUUUGACUCGGAGCGAAGCUUCCGGGAAACCAGAGCUUUCAGGUUCCGGGGGAAGUAUGGUUGCAAAGCUGAAACUUAAAGGAAUUGACGGAAGGGCACCACCAGGAGUGGAGCUUGCGGCUUAAUUUGACUCAACACGGCAAAAUUUACCAGGGCAGGACAUACGUAGGAUUGACAGAUUGAAGAUCUUUCUUGAUUGUGUGGGUGGUGGUGCAUGGCCGUUCUUAGUUCGUGGACUGGUCCGUCUGCUUGAUUGCGGUAACGAACGAGACUCUAACCUGCUAAAUAGUCCAUAUAGAGAUCCCUUCGGGGCUAUCUGAGAGAAAUCCUUCUUAGAGGGAACAGCGGCCUCGAGUCGCAUGAUAUAGAGCAAUAACAGGUCUGGCAUGCCCUUAGAUGUCCUGGGCCGCACGCGUGCUACAAUGAAAAAAGCAGCGUGAACAAUCCUAGGCCGAGAGGUCCGGGUAAUCAGAUAAAACUUUUUCAUGCAGGGGAUAGGGGCUUGCAAUUGACCCCUUGAACAAGGAAUUCCCAGUAGGCGUGAGUUAGGAGCUCGCGUCGAUUGAGUCCCUGCCCUUUGUCCACACCGCCCGUCGCUACUUCCGAUCGAAUGGGGUAGUGAGGUCUCCGGACCGAUGCUACAGGUUCAAAAAACCUUAGCUUUGGGAGGCUGACCAAACUUGCUCG
rnacentral:rRNA from 1 species